AUUUGAUUUUCUGGUGGGGGUAGGGGGUGGUGGCUAUUGAUUAUUUUGAAGAAAAAAAGUUUGUUUCCAAUUUUUGGAUAAAAAAUAAUUUGUUUUUGACCCUGAGAAAAAAAAUGUUUGUUUUACCCUCAGCUGCCAUUAAAUGAAAUGCUAAAAUUGAAAGAGAAGAAUUGUUUUCAACUUGUCUGGAAAAAAUCCAUAGUUCCCCCCUCCCUGAAAACAAAUGGU
rnacentral:lncRNA from 1 species